GCAGUCUUAAAGGCCAGUGUCACUCUCACUGUGCUCCCCCAACAGCACUGAGUGUAUUUCCAGGCAGCCAGUGACUAAAUGACUAGGGCUGAGAACUUGCCCUAUACCACAAGCCUCCUCGCUGAGAAAGCAAGCGGACUCACAGUUUUUCAGGGAGCCUGCAGCCGUGAUCCAGUUCUUUCAAAGGCUAGUGGGCCAAUGCGACUGAAAUGCAGUUUUGGGGAAAUGGAAGAAUAGGAGGAAUAGAAGACCAGGCCAGAGAUAUAAG
rnacentral:lncRNA from 10 species